rnacentral:rRNA from 1 species
UGCAAGUCGAACGGUCUCUUCGGAGAUAGUGGCAGACGGGUGAGUAACGCGUGGGAAGCUACCUUGUGGUAGGGAACAACAGUUUGAAAAGACUGCUAAUACCCUAUGAGCCCUAUGGGGGAAAGAUUUAUCGCCAUGAGAUGUGCCCGCGUUAGAUUAGCUAGUUGGUAAGGUAAUGGCUUACCAAGGCGACGAUCUAUAGCUGGUCUGAGAGGAUGAUCAGCCACACUGGGACUGAGACACGGCCCAGACUCCUACGGGAGGCAGCAGUGGGGAAUAUUGGACAAUGGGGGCAACCCUGAUCCAGCCAUGCCGCGUGAGUGAUGACGGCCUUAGGGUUGUAAAGCUCUUUCAGCAGUGAAGAUAAUGACAUUAACUGCAGAAGAAGCCCCGGCUAACUUCGUGCCAGCAGCCGCGGUAAUACGAAGGGGGCUAGCGUUGUUCGGAAUCACUGGGCGUAAAGCGCGCGUAGGCGGAUUGAUAAGUUAGGGGUGAAAUCCCGAGGCUCAACCUCGGAACUGCCUUUGAUACUGUCAGUCUUGAGUUCGAGAGAGGUGAGUGGAACUCCGAGUGUAGAGGUGAAAUUCGUAGAUAUUCGGAAGAACACCAGUGGCGAAGGCGGCUCACUGGCUCGAUACUGACGCUGAGGU